GCGACCCCAGGUCAGGCGUGGCCACCCGCUGAAUUUAA
rnacentral:rRNA from 1 species